UUGUUUUACAUUAAAAAAAAUUUUUUAAACCUUUGUGAAAUAUUCUUGGAAUUUUCCAGUCUAUGAACAGUCAAUGUAGGAAAAUCAGUGGUUAUUAGGUAUAGUUUUCUUACUGUAGCUUUACUGAUUGGUAGAUUAAAAGUCUAAAAACUAUAGCAAAAUUUUUUUUCUGAAUUUUUCUAUUUGGUAUUGAGUACUAUGAUAUUAUAUCUCUUAAAAUAUGUUUUUCUUUAUCCAUAAUAUAAAGGAAUCAAAAAAUACAUUAGAACUUGGAUGUGAACUUGUGCAAAGGUGUGAAAUAAAUUAAGAUGACAGGGCAGAAGCAAGAAAAUGGAGCUCAGAUUAAAUCUACCCCUCAAAGCAGGCCUGUUUAUAUUUUACUAUGUUUGCUAUUAUAAAUUUAUUUCCAUGUAUGUGUUUCUUUGCUAGAAAUGAUAACUAGCUGCCAGCCCAACUUCUGAUUCUUAGGCAACUCCAUUUUACCAACAAACCACUCAUUUUGAUUUGGUCAGCUGGGGGCUCAGCUCUGUGCAGCGUCCCUCUGGGACACAGGCUGCCCGGAGAAUCCCCAUCUGGAGCAUGGCCAGUCUCUGGGAGAAGGAGAAGAUAGAGUGGUGAACUGAGUGCUGGCUUAUGCCCGAAAGUGACACACGACCCUUCUCCUCACGUGGCACCGGACAAAGUAAGUCAGGUGGCUGCACCCAACUUCAAAAGGUAACAUACCUGUUUUGGCUAUAACAACCUCUGCUGGACCAUCUUCCUACACAGAUACUCCUCUCACCCCACCUGGGCUCUGAAAUAUCCUCUUCACCCUGCCUCGACGCCAACAUCUCGCACUAGGCUAUGCCUUUGCAAGAACACUCCCCUCACCCCACGUGGGCUCUGAAACCUCCUGCCAGGCUGCCCCUCCCACCCUCAAUCCUCAGACCACCUGGGCCACCCUGCACUGAGCCAUCCUCUCAGCCUGCUUUGGCUCUGACACUGAGCUGAGCCGACCCUCUGCAGGGGUGGCUCUCUUGAGCUGCUUGGGCCCAACACUGGCACCAGGUAUCCCACUCGUGGGAUGCCCUCCUCACCCCACUUUUGCGGUGUUCUAAUUCUUUAAAGAUUUCUAUUAUCUAUGUAUAUAGUAUCAGUUUUUCCUCAAACUAGAGGUCUGUGUAUGUAUUAUUGAUGAUCCAUCAGUAAUAAUGUGUUUUCAUUUCAGUGAUCUAAAAAAAACUUACAUUAUAAAAAUAAGCAUAUCUGGGAUGUUCGUUUUAUAACAACAUACUUUUAGUGUUGGUGCUUUGUGUUUAAAAUUGGG